rnacentral:rRNA from 1 species
ACGGGAGGCAGCAGUGAGGAAUAUUGGUCAAUGGACGGAAGUCUGAACCAGCCAAGUAGCGUGCAGGAUGACGGCCCUAUGGGUUGUAAACUGCUUUUAUAUGGGGAUAAAAAAGAGUACGUGUACUUUCUUGCAGGUACCAUAUGAAUAAGGACCGGCUAAUUCCGUGCCAGCAGCCGCGGUAAUACGGAAGGUCCGGGCGUUAUCCGGAUUUAUUGGGUUUAAAGGGAGCGUAGGCGGUAUUUUAAGCGUGUUGUGAAAUGUAGAUGCUCAACAUCUGAAUUGCAGCGCGAACUGGAGGGCUUGAGUGCGCCGGAAGUAGGCGGAAUUCGUUGUGUAGCAGUGAAAUGCUUAGAUAUGACGAAGAACUCCGAUUGCGAAGGCAGCUUACUGUCGCGUAACUGACGCUGAAGCUCGAAAGUGCGGGUAUCGAACAGGAUUAGAUACCCUGGUA